CAGCCGCCGCGGGAAUACGUAGGGUGCAAGCGUUAAUCGGAAUUACUGGGCGUAAAGCGUGCGCAGGCGGUUUUGUAAGACAGAGGUGAAAUCCCCGGGCUCAACCUGGGAACUGCCUUUGUGACUGCAAGGCUAGAGUACGGCAGAGGGGGAUGGAAUUCCGCGUGUAGCAGUGAAAUGCGUAGAUAUGCGGAGGAACACCGAUGGCGAAGGCAAUCCCCUGGGCCUGUACUGACGCUCAUGCACGAAAGCGUGGGGAGCAAACAGGAUUAGAUACCCGCGUAGUCUGUCUCUUAUACAC
rnacentral:rRNA from 1 species